rnacentral:rRNA from 1 species
UACGAAGGGGGCUAGCGUUGCUCGGAGUCACUGGGCGUAAAGCGCACGUAGGCGGAUUGUUAAGUCAGGGGUGAAAUCCUGGAGCUCAACUCCAGAACUGCCUUUGAUACUGGCGAUCUCGAGUCCGGGAGAGGUGAGUGGAACUCCGAGUGUAGAGGUGAAAUUCGUAGAUAUUCGGAAGAACACCAGUGGCGAAGGCGGCUCACUGGCCCGGUACUGACGCUGAGGUGCGAAAGCGUGGGGAGCAAACAGG